CUGGCCCCCCCCGCGGGGGUCCGAGUUGUAAUUUGCAGAGGAUGCUUUGGGCGCGGCGCCUUCCGAGUGCCUUGGAACAGGUCGCCUCAGAGGGUGAGAGCCCCGUACGGUUGGACGCCUAGCCCGUGUAAAGCUCCUUCAACGAGUCGAGUAGUUUGGGAAUGCUGCUCAAAAUGGGAGGUAAAUUCCUUCUAAAGCUAAAUACUGGCCAGAGACCGAUAGCGCACAAGUAGAGUGAUCGAAAGGUGAAAAGCACUUUGAAAAGAGAGUCAAAUAGCACGUGAAAUUGUUAAAAGGGAAGCGUCUGCGACCAGACGCGCCGCCCGCGGCUCACCCGGCGCCUCGGCGCCGGGGCACGCCGCGGGCGUCGGGCCAGCAUCGGCUCUGCCGUGGGUACAAGGACCGCGGGAACGUAGCUCCCUCGUGGAGUGUUAUAGCCCGCGGCACCAUGCCCGCGGCG
rnacentral:rRNA from 1 species